UGUAUUUAGCUGUAUCCUGGGCGUGCGUGACUCCAUCUUGGCUUCUUGUUAAUCAAUCAUUGCUACAAGCUCUGUCCUUUGCACCUGUCAGUCAGAACUGAGAGAGUAUAAGAGGAGGAGUUUCACGCCCCCCGCUGGGUCUGUUCCUGCCAGAGAGCAGUAUGGGUCCCGGCAGGUGCACAUCAUUGCGGCAGCAUUUCCACAUAACAAAGGGAAUGCCGCAGAAUACUCACCGUGUCCC